rnacentral:lncRNA from 1 species
CCCCUUGCCCCUCUCACUCGUCUCUCACCCUUUCCCUAUAACGCCGCCGCCAACCGUCGCCGGAAAUCGCCCCACGACGGCGGCAAGUCUCCGAUGACCCUCACAUUUACACCACAACUCCGUCUCCCCUCCCUCAUGCCCAUACCACACUCUGUUCCCCUCAAAUCCCAUUGGAACGUGUUAAAAUUUUCAAAUCCUAGGGCGCCACCUCAAAUCCUCCACCACAGCUGGUGGCGCCGAUCUUAAAUCCUACCAAACUGACACCAUGUAAUCACCACAACCCCCAUGUACCUAAUCUAUGGUCGGUGGCUCUCGAUUCAGCUUCAAGUUGUUCGAAUUUUGGAUAUGAUUUCGACUUCCAGAGUUCGAGACCUUUUUAUUAGCCUAUCAAGCAUGACCUUGGGGUUCAUUUUCUUCUCGAACUUUAAACUUCGGACUUGGAAAACUGAAUUUGUUCAAUUUUUCUUGAUAAAGAACAAGGGACCAAUAUUAGUUUGGUCGUGUCUCUCGUCUCCAUUGGUUCUAAAGUCCAAACCUG